ensembl:snRNA U6 U6 spliceosomal RNA
GUGCUCACUUUGGCAGCACAUAUUCUAAGAUUGGAACGAUACAGAGAUUAACAUGGCCCCUGUACUAGGAUGAAAUGCAAAUUCGUAAGCAUUCCAUAUUUUU